UAGACAUACACACGCAUACAUGAGACCGCCACUCUAAUGUCCCAAAACCUUCACCCAAGUCCUCGUCAAAUCCUAAAACCCCAAAAACCACACCAUCAGCCAUGGCUUCCUUCGCCGCCAGGUCUGUCCUCCGCUCCACCGCGGCUCGAGCCACCGUCGGCUCGAGGCUCGCUUCGGCCGCCAGACCCAAACCAGCCUCCUCGCCUUUUCGCAUCCCCAAACUAAACCAAAGCUCCACCUCUCCUCGCAUUUUCAGGUCGCCUGUGGAGUUGAGCUGCUGUGUGGAGACGAUGCUUCCGUACCACACAGCCACUGCCUCUGCAUUGCUCACUUCGAUGCUCUCUGUCUCUCAGCGCUCCUACGGUUGGACCCCUGAAGAUUGCAAUGAUGAUGUAUGAUGAAUAUCAGAGGGUUCGAGCAAAGUUUUAUGUACUUGCGCCCUAAGACAAGGGCUGUGAUGAUUCCUCAUUAGCAGACUUCAGACUUUGGCUUGGAGACUUACCAUGUUUCAAUUCUGUUUACCUUGCUUAUAAAGUUUCAGUUGUGAACGUUGUUGUUAUUUACUUAGAAACUAAUGUCUAAACUGACUCGUGCUUUUGUCUCAUUAUGCAUUACGUUUUCAUCUGAACUGCAAAUUAUGGUUAAAAUGGUUCCAAAUUUCUCAGUCUUCA